UAACACCAACACCUAAGCCAGAUACAAAUAAAAUAUCGACAUCAACGAAUACUUUUAAUUUUUCCAACGCCUCAUAUGAAGAUAUGCACUAUUUUAGGGUUCAAGAGAACAACCGCUUGAAGAAGGAACAUGAGCUGCGCAUAGAACAAAUGUCUGAGCAACAUGCUCAGAUUAUGAUCAAUUUAAAAUGGCAAGAGGAUAUUUUAAAAAA
rnacentral:lncRNA from 1 species